rnacentral:rRNA from 1 species
GAUGAACGCUAGCGAUAGGCCUAACACAUGCAAGUCGAGGGGCAUCACAUGAAGUAGCAAUACGGAUGGUGGCGACCGGCGCACGGGUGAGUAACACGUAUGCAACCUGCCUUCAACAAGGGGAUAACCCGUUGAAAGACGGACUAAUACCCUAUAACACAGGGGUCCCGCAUGGGAAUAUUUGUUAAAGGACAACCGGUUGAAGAUGGGCAUGCGUUCCAUUAGCUAGUUGGCGGGGUAACGGCCCACCAAGGCAACGAUGGAUAGGGGAACUGAGAGGUUUAUCCCCCACACUAGUACUGAGACACGGACCAGACUCCUACGGGAGGCAGCAGUGAGGAAUAUUGGUCAAUGGACGCAAGUCUGAACCAGCCACGUCGCGUGAAGGAAGACGGCCCUACGGGUUGUAAACUUCUUUUAUACGGGAAUAAAGUGCCCCACGCGUGGGGUUUUGCAUGUACCGUAUGAAUAAGGAUCGGCU